ACCCAGUGGGAACCCUGAGAACAUGAAACACAUACUUGUCCCAAUCACAUAAUCUUCACGCUGCACCUGAGCUGUAGAAAGAAUCUGUUUCCCUGAUCUGUGUUCUAGAUUUCAUAGAGGCCCCGGCCUUCCACCAGCAAAGGAAAAGUUUUGAAGCCAGCAAGUUCUGAGAUGAGAUGCCUAGUGCUGCCCUUGCCCAUUUUCUGGCAUUUGUUCUGAUAUCUCUGAGAGGUAACUUGGACCCUUUUUUCGAAAGAAUGUCAUUCAUGUGCAGAUGAAUGGUUUAAGCAUUCACAUAUUGUCCAAUAAUCAAGGGAACCAACAAAGUUAUUUGUUUUGAGACCUAAUUAACUUUUAUAAAUCAUUGGAUUAUACAAUAAAGACUAAGAUAUGGCCCCUUAAGAUAUCUUUUAAUUUGGAAAAACAACAACAUGGAUUCAUUUAGUAAUAUUGAACAUCUUUUAGGUGCUAGAUAUUGGUGAUUAAAAUGUUCGAGACAUUCUUUUUAUCUUUGGAAUUCAUAUUUAGUGGUAGAAGGACAUAUAAACAGCCCUUUCUCCUGCCAUCCACUCAGCAGCAUCACAACUACCGGCAACAGGGUGAAAGGUCUGCAGUGGAAAUAAGACGAGACCUUCAAGUUAAUGGAGCAGCUUGCCAACAUAGCCAUGAGGCAACUCUUAGACAAUGAGGGAUUUGAACAAGAUCGAUCCCUGCCCAAACUCAAAAGGAAAUCUCCUAAAAAAGUGUCUGCUCUAAAACGGUGGGUGAUAGAGACCUUGUAUCUUCCAGACUUUAGAAAUGAGAAACUCACUCAUUCAUUUAUUCAGUGUAACCUUCUCUGACGAUCUUCAAGGGUUCUGAACACUCUUCUGUGUAUAGAUACAAAACUAAAAAAGACUAGCUGAGGUGCUACCAGUUCAGAAAGUGAGACAGACAUGACCUGCUCCAACACAAGGCAGCAGGCACUCUUCUGGUCCUGUGAACACAGUGCUGUGGGUGCACACAUGGGGAGUGAUAGCCUCAGCCCAGAUGGGGAAGAGUGGGUAAGAAAGGCCUCUCAGUGGAGGCUGCUUUGAGCUGGGCUCUGAAGAGGUGAUAGAAGUUACCUGUGCAGGUACAUAUCCAUGCCUGGAUAUUUCAAGCAGAGGGAAGAUGACGAUGGGGGAAACACAAGGGAAAACACAGAGAGAAGUAACUUUGUCACAUGGCUAGUAGGUGGCAGGGCAUGGGAUGAGGAGAGGCUGCAGAGAAGCCUCAAAGUCUGAAUGUGAGAGCAGAGCUAGAGAGAGGGUGAUGGAAAGUUGAUGCCCCAUGUGCCUGGAAUUACCCUUCAUCAACACAGGGAAUGAGAGAAGGAAGAGCAUGUCCAAGGGAUACGAUAGCUCAGCUUUGAUUAUGUUGAAUUGAGGUGCCUGUAGCUCAUCUAAGUAGAGAUCAGUCCAGUAAGAUAUACAAAAUUGGAAAUCAUUGAUGUGCAUUUGGUAGUUGAAAUCUAACCAGAGGUCUUUGUAAUUAAGAUGUCCUUGGUGAUUUGAGACAUGUUCAAAAGAGCAGUGUAAGAUAGAUGCUGCUACUGCAGCGGAUCAAAUAAAAAAUAAAAGACAAGGAAAGGGAACUAGGCAAAUACAGACUUCAUUUUCAAGAAAUUCAGUGGUAAAGGAGGGGAGGAUUGCUUUUUUUUUUAGAAUGAAAAAGAUUUGAACAUAGUAUCAAAUGAAGGAGGCAGAUGGGAAGAGCAUUUUGGUGAGGGUAGGUGUGGAGACAGGAAGGGACAUAGAGAUAGUUAUAAGAAAGUUGAUCAUUUAAGAAGUGAUAUUUUGUAGAGAAAGCAUGGAAAGGAUGCUUGUGUGUCCUGAUAUACCUUUUCCUUUGGAAUGGAGAGGAAGUAAGAGUAGGUGAGGAUGGAGGUGACUUUGGAGACAGAAGGGAAGGAAUUGGAGGGGGCUUCUGCAUCAUGGACCUUUGCUCUAUGAAGUCAGAGACUAGACCAUCACGAGGCUGAUGUCAGGUAGAAGCUUGAGGGGAGAGGUUUAAACAACUGACAUGAUGAGCAAGAACAAAGAACUCAUUAGAGAAAAGAUAGUAGUUAACAGAAGACCCAGCUAAGGUCAGAAGCCAUAGUUGCCCAAGGUGAGUUGUUCCUGUGUCUUUUCCUGCAGCUUUGUUGUCGAUUUGGGGUGGACACUGAGGCCCAGUGGAUUUAUAUGGCUGGUUUGCAUUCUCAUUAGGUCUUAAAAGAUAAGGCCCCCCCUAAAGUGGCUUGGAUAAGAGUAAAUGCAGUGACCUCUUUAGAGUGUAUUGCAUUUCUUUAGAAAGAGGAAGAGUUUCCUGUUCAGGCUUAUUUUUGCUAUGAUUCUUUAACAUUUACAGACAUGGAUUAUAAGUGACUAUGCAAGGGACUGAAAUAUAAUAAGAUAAUUUUAUUACGCUUUUGGGUCAUUAGGUUGGGGUUAACUUCAAUAUAAAGAAAGCUGAGAAGCGGGGGAUGAGUCUAGCAAGAUUGAGGAGGUGGAAAAUGGGCUGGGGGAACUUCCGCUGCUGCAUAAUUUAGAAGGUAUGGAAACAUUUUUCUUAUGUGAAUUGUAAUUAUUGCUUUCCAGUGAUCUUGAUGCCAGGGCAAAGAGUGAGAGAUACCGUGCACUUUUCCGGCUGCCCAAAGAUGAAAAAUUAGAUGGCCACACAGACUGCACUCUCUGGACUCCAUUUAACAAAAUGCACAUUUUGGGGCAGAUGUUUGUGUCCACAAAUUACAUCUGUUUUACCAGCAAGGAGGAGAACUUAUGUAGCCUCAUUAUCCCGCUCCGUGAGGUAAGUAUCUGAUAAAAAUUGAUAUUUUAAGUUUCAUUUGUAAUACUUUUCUGGGUGAACCAGGAAUAAUUUUUUUACCAACAAUUGGCUUUUGAACACAGGUGAAUGUUCAUGCGUCUUUGGUGGCACCUGCAUUCUUUCAUUUGUUGUCACUGCUGUGACUCUGGGACCUGUGAGAUCUCUUCUUCCAGAAGCUGCAUGGGGGUUUUUUAAUGUAGGUUUUGUUUUUAUUUUAUUUUAUUAGAGACAGUCUCGCUCUGUCACCCACGCUGGAGUGCAGUGGCAUGAUCUCAGCUUACUGCAACCUCCACCCUCCAGGUUCAAGCGAUUCUCCUGCCUCAGCCUCCUGAGUAGCUGGAAUUACAGGCGCCUGCCACCAUGCCCAGCUAAUUUUUGUAUUUUUAGUAGAGAUGGAGUUUCACCAUGUUGGGCAGACUGGUCUCGAACUCCUGGCCUCAGGUGAUCCACCCACCUUGGCCUCCCAAAGUGCUGGGAUUACAGACAUGAGCCACUGUGCCCGGCCUAAAUGUAGGUUUUAUUACAAUUCAAGCUUAACGAGGCCAGCAAUCAGGGGAUGAGUGCUAUUGAAAUAGCUUGUUUUAUGCACAGAUCCUGAAAGGCAAGGGCAUGCCACGCGAUGUGCUGGGCCACACGUGGAAGCACCAUGGUCAGAGGAGGCAGGAGGGAAAGAAAAUGUGGGCAAGAUCCUUUAUGUGAUUUCAAGGGAAGAAAUGGGCUACGCCGAGUAAAUAGGCUUAGGCUUGGAUAAUUGGAACAAUUUUGGUGGGCUGUGGGGCAUAGGGGUUGUCCCUAGUUGUCCAUGGGUUAAAAAGGGCAAGGAAAUAGUAGUCUUGAUUCUUGGAAAAUAAUGCUCUUUGUUUCCCACUUCUUUUCAGGUGACAAUUGUGGAAAAGGCAGACAGCUCCAGUGUGCUCCCCAGUCCCUUAUCCAUCAGCACCCGAA
rnacentral:lncRNA from 1 species